rnacentral:rRNA from 1 species
CCUACGGGUGGCAGCAGUGAGGAAUAUUGGUCAAUGGGCGGGAGCCUGAACCAGCCAAGUCGCGUGAGGGAAGACGGUCCUAUGGAUUGUACACCUCUUUAGGCGGGGAGCAAUGCCGGGCACGCGUGCCCGGAGGGAGAGUACCCGCAGAAUAAGCAUCGGCUAACUCCGUGCCAGCCGCCGCGGUAAUACGGAGGAUGCGAGCGUUAUCCGGAUUUAUUGGGUUUACAGGGUGCGUAGGCGGAUUUUUAAGUCAGCGGUAAAAUGUCCGGGCUCAACCCGGGCCGGCCGUUGAAACUGGGGAUCUUGAGUGGGCGAGAAGUAUGCGGAAUGCGUGGUGUAGCGGUGAAAUGCAUAGAUAUCACGCAGAACUCCGAUUGCGAAGGCAGCAUACCGGCGCCCGACUGACGCUGAGGCACGAAAGCGUGGGGAUCGAACAGGAUUAGAUACCCCAGUAGUC